CCUUAAUCAAUUCUUGCUUGCUUCAAUUAACCACAAUCAGAGUGUUUAGCUUGAGUACAUUGGAUUAUUUUAUCGCGUACUUAAAGUGUCAAGAUUUUUUUUUUAAAAUAAUCUUAUUUCCAAGUCAAACACAACCAUAUAAAAAUAGAAAUGAAACUAAGGAAGUAGUAUAUCCAUGUAAGGUAAAAUUUACACGCACAUCAUUCACAAAUGAAUGAUGUCAUUAAUAACGUAAUGUUGCAUGAAAAUAAAAGGUGGGGCCUACCUAAUGUGUAGUGAUAGUGAUAUGAUUUAUUUAUUUAUUUAUUUAUUAAUGUUUCGAAGGUAAUAAUUAAUGUGAAUGAAGUUACAAUAAAGUUUGUUAAGGAAGCAGUAUUGCAUGACUUAUUUCAAUGCGUGGUACGCUUUUGGCGGAAAUGUGACCACUUCCCACUAUUAUUUAAUUCUAUUAUUACAAUUAAGUUAUAGACAUAUUCCCACAUCUGUAGCAGAAUUCUGCCUUCUUUCUCUCUUUUGGUUAUAAGGAAAGGGAUGGCAAUGGACAGGACGGAUUGAUUAGGUCCAGCUAGGACAUCGCGGUAGGAAUCACUGAAAUAACUCGGGCAUGAAACAUUCAGCUGGAAGGAUAUCUAGAUUUGCUUUGUGUAAGGGUGUUAAUUCUCAUAAUAAAAGAGAUUUGAUUAUAAAAUCGGAGUAAAUUAUACAUUAAGCAAGCCUAUAACAUAUAUAAAACGAAGGGAGUAAUAUCUAACUAUCUAUGACAUAUAUAUUCUCAUCAGAUGAUGAUGCCGAUCGCGUAAUGUUGACAUUAAAUCACAAAUCCAAAAACAUUUAUUCUGCAACUCCUUUGGUAAGGGGAGACUAUAUUGAUUUCUUACUAUAUAAGAUUACUAUUCUUUUUAUUAAUUUUUUAAUUUGGACAAGUAAAAGUAAAUAGCGAGAGUAAUGAUCAAGAAAAUGGGCAUGUAUGUCAAGUGUUAAUUGGGGAAAGAAACAGUUAGAAUUGCAGCAACAUGGACAUUGAUGGACAAUGAAAAGUGGGGUAACGCUUAUGAUGUGAAUGAAGUGAAGUCAAAUUCUGUACGUAUAAUCUAUGAAGUUAGUUGAGGGAGCGGCAUUUGCAUGACUCAUUUCAAUAGAGUUUAAUAAUACUAUAUGUUAUCAAUAUAAAUAAUUUCUACACGAUUAGAUUAUUUAUAAAUGUGCAUUCACUACGAAAGAAAAUAAGUGAAUUCUUACUUAUUUUCUUGUGCUUGGUAUGUAAGUAAAAAUAUUAUUUUAAUAUAUUUGUAUAUAUCUUGAAAUAUACUAUGGGAGGUAGGAGUCGAGAGUAGGGGUUUCAGAUGGGGCUAUGGGAUGGGGUGAAGAUGAGGAGUGUUGGAAGAUGGGGAGGACACAAUUAAUAUGAAAUAACACUUGUGAAACUUGUUUUCUCAUCUUCCACUAAAAAGCCAUUUUCGAACUUUGUUUUUCUAAAGCAAAAAUUAUUUUUCAAAAAAUUAACUAACAAAACAUGAAAAAAUUGAAAAAACUAGAAUACCAACACACACCCUAAGUGGUAUCCAUAUUCCUACAUCUUAAUAUAAAAUUCCACUAUGUUCUUUCAUCACAAUAUUAUUCUAGUCUCUUAAUAUAAAAUUUCCAUAAUUAUUUCUUACUACCAGUAUUCAAAAUGUGGUACAACUUGAAAGCUGAAAAAUAGUUUUAUUAAAUAUUUAGAAAAAAUUUUUUGUUGGAAUAUAUCUGACGUACCAAGUUACUAGUGUUGGUCUUAUCUGAUAUGGCCCGUAACCUCUCAUUCUAGCAGUAACUUAAUAGUUAAGGAUUUGAAUUUUAAAUUCUCUGUAACUGUUGCCCAACCACCCAAUCUGUUUUUGAUGGAGAACAUUAUAAAUAAGAUAGAUCUGAUUAAAGGGUCCCUAAGUAUGACUUUCAAAAUACUCCACACCAUCUAAAGAGUGAGAGUUGAAUACUUAGAAGACUCACCGGACGUGGAAAGCAAAUGUCUACAACUUUGACGACUCUGACAAAUACCGACAAUGACUGGAGGAAGAUAUCAGAGUAAUCAGGGUCUUGACCACUGGAGAACUACAAAGAAAGUCUUAAGAUAUCUUCAAGGGACGAAAGAUUACAUGCUUAUGUACAAAUGAUCAGAUGACUUGGAAGUCAUUGGCUACUCUGAUUCAAAUUUUGUUGGCUGUGUUAAUUCAAGAAAAUCAACUUCUGGAUACAUUUUUAUAUUAGCCGGUGAAGCUAUAUCUUGGAGGAGUGCAAAACAGACUUUGAUUACUACUUCUACUAUGGAAGCUGAAUUUGUUUCUGUUUUGAGGCUACCUCACAUAUUGUAUGGUUUUGGCUAAGAAUAACAAAAGUGGUAGUCGAACCAUAAGAGAACGUGUUAAAGAUAAGAAAGUGGUCAUUGAACACGUCAAUACUGAAGUGAUGUUAGCUGAUCCUUUAACUAAAGACAUGCCACCGCAGAAGUUUAAGGAUCAUGCAGUCACAAUGGGACUUAGUUCCAACAUGUAAAUCUUCGUUGUAACAAUAUAAUGAAUGUUGAUGAAACUCUAUUUUAUAUGA